rnacentral:lncRNA from 7 species
CGGCCGCUACAAGUCCUCGCCCUCCUCGAUUCACCUCAUCUAUUGAAACCGCCGUGGGCCUCACCGUUGUGUUGUGUCCGUGCGUGGGCAUGCGAGCCACCGCCCAUGCUACACGACCAUUGCUGCGGUCGGUCUCUUGGCCGGGAUGACUCACGGGGUCCCCAUGGUACACGAGUCAUUCCAAUUUCUCGCUGUCUUUCCUCACCACCGCGGAGCCGUCGGGUGGCGUCGCUGGACCUCUACGUUGUUCAAUCGUCGGUAAGGGGUUAUUACAUAUAUUCACCAUCCCCUAGGGAACAUUGAUCGCGGAUAGGAUUAAUGGAUGGGGUGUUGUGGCACGGAACGGCCGUUGUCGGCCAUGGCCUCCACUGUGGGGUUGCCCGCCGCCGCUCGGUCAGCUGGUGGAUGAAGAUGGUGUGGAGAUCGUUGGAUCUAGAUGAACGAUAGAGAUUAGAAGGUUGGGGAGGAAACUGUAUAAUCGUUGAUCGUGGAACGGACGCCCUGGAUUAGAUUCAUGUAUACCUGUUUGGCCAGAUCUGACGUGGGCCGUUUGAUCUAGAUCUGGCGCUCGAAAAUCGAUUUGGGCGUUAUAAAAUUUGAUGCAUCGGUGAUAGAUCUUGCGACUGUCAUUAUAUGUCGGUUCAAUGAUUUAAUCCUGGCCGCUAGCGGGUGAUCGGGUCGUCCAUAUUCGCACGUACCCCUUCGGCGAGGCUUUUUUGCGUAUGAGCCCUCAUGUUUCUUUCAAACCCGUCAUCCUAACGCAGUUGUAGAAAAUUUAAUAUAUGCCCCUGAAACUUGCAGUUUGGCCCCUUAUCUCUUAAAGAAUGGCACCCUCAAUCCAGGACUUACAAAAUUUAGUAAAAUAAAUCCAAAAAUGGAUUUUUAGUAACUUUGUAUUACCAUGAAACCUAUGAUUAAAAUCUUGCACCUCCUUUGCUUUAUAAUAGACACUUAAACCUUCGGAAAAUCAUAACUUUAUGACCGUAACUCCGAAUUUAGUAGUUCUCGAAUCUAGGAUCUAGUUUGACCCGUAGGACAAUAUUAUGCAGUUUGUUCUCAUGUUUGGUGUAAUGUUAUUUUUAUGUACUCCUUGUAUGUUUGUAUGUAUUGCUACGUGUAGCAGCGAGGUUUCGAGUCACUUGAAGACCAAGUUGGUACCUGGGGAUCUCAAGUCUAAGGCAAGUUGUGCCCUUAUUCACUUUUCUCUUUACCCAAUAAUGUUCCUGUUAAUCACUGUGACAUGCUCAGGUUAAUUUGAUGGGACCUAAUAGGCUUCCCUAGCAUUGUUUAUCCCACACCUUGUAGACAAAAGAACUAUUGGGUAGUUUUGUUAUUGCUCUACUUGGUUUUGGGAAAUUAAUGUUAUAUUACGAUCAUGUUCCAGUUAUGUUGUUGUUUAAUUAUCGUUCAUGACAAGAUCAUUGUGUUAAUUGGAACAUGGAGCUUAACUUGAGAUAUCCGUGCUACCACAAGGGUGGAAUGGGACGCCCUUGGCUGACUAAUUAGGAAAGCUAGUGGAGGACUACCUUACCCGAAAGGGGCAAGGGCGGUAGAGGAGCUGCGUAUAGGGAGGCUCUCGGGUCGAUUAUGCUGUUAUGGCUUUUUGGACGAGGGAUUCCUAUAUUGCCUUUCUCAGGAACUGUAGCGGGUUUUCUGAAGCUUGUGGAACUUUGUAAAGGCCUCGUAGUGGAUCCCUAGCCAUUCACCUUGGAAGUGUCUAAGGGCCUUGCAAACCCUGGCUAGACGGGAUACAUGAAUUGUGGGUAAAGGGUGCAACCUCUAUAGAGUGUAAAUUUGGUAUAUUAGCCGUGUUAACGGUCAACAGCGACUCAGGACUCUCGCAUGAUUAACUUAUGGAAAUUAACUUAAUAUGACAUAUGCAUUGCAUCGAGGGUGUUAUUAUCAAUUGUGAUCUCUUAUUUAAUUGGGUUGAUAUUUACUUAUACUUAGUAACUGCUAAUAAAAUUGGGACCAACUUUAAAAGCAAUGCUCAGCUUUAACCACCUCCUUUGAUAAGUUUUACACUUCACAUGAGCUCCCACCUUUGGUGAGUUCAUGCACAUUAUUCCCCACAACUUGUUGAGCGAUGAACGUAUGUGAGCUCACCCUUGUUGUACUCACAUCCCCCCAGGUCAAGAACAGGUACCACAUGAUGAGGCACAUGAAGGAUGAUGUGACGAGUUCGUGAGUGGUCUAGGCCGUCGUCUACCAGUCAACUAUGGUUGCUGGAUUGUUGUCUUCGUAUGAUGUAAUUAUUUAACUAUUUUGUACAAAAUUCCAUUAUAUAUUAAUGAUGUGACAUUCGUUUCUAUACCAUGAGUCAUCAUAUGUGUGAGACUUGAUCCCAGCACACUUGGUGAAGUUCGUGCCCGGGUUUUGGACCCCUAAAAUCCGGGUGUGACAGAAUUGGUAUCAGAGGAAUGUUGACUGUAGGACGUAACCUAGAUAGAAUUGGACAACCCUUACCUACUUACCUUUGCUACUCUGAUUCUUUCUAAACUCACGUUGAUCUUUUCUCAUCUAUUGUUGCUUUACCCUGAUUACUCUUACCUUUUCAUUUCUAAAUACAAAAGUGGAUUUCACACUUUGAAAUCCUAUACCAAAGUGACUCUGAGGAAUUGGAGACCUAAUCUUAGGAACAAAAAACUAUUUUUAUAGGUAUCUAUGCACUUGAAUGCUUGUUCUUAUGAUAAUUGUCUGAUCUGGUUCUUUGAUUGAGUGUGAUGAGUUGUGGAGUAAUGUCCACAAUGGCAUCUAAAUACAUAUAUGCAUAAAAUAUAUUUAGAAAGAUAGAUUAUCC